AAAUACUUGUCCUAGAAAUGGAUGUAUCUAGACUUAUUUUAGUUAUAGAUACAUCCAUUUUAUUCAUUUCUAGGACAAGUAUUUCCGGACAGAGGGAGUAGAUG
rfam:Hordeum vulgare subsp. vulgare, WGS project CAJW01000000 data, contig: morex_contig_2551134